GACGAACGCUGGCGGCGUGCUUAACACAUGCAAGUCGAACGGAAAGGCCCUGCUUUUGUGGGGUGCUCGAGUGGCGAACGGGUGAGUAACACGUGAGUAACCUGCCCUUGACUUUGGGAUAACUUCAGGAAACUGGGGCUAAUACCGGAUAGGAGCUCCUGCUGCAUGGUGGGGGUUGGAAAGUUUCGGCGGUUGGGGAUGGACUCGCGGCUUAUCAGCUUGUUGGUGGGGUAGUGGCUUACCAAGGCUUUGACGGGUAGCCGGCCUGAGAGGGUGACCGGCCACGUUGGGACUGAGAUACGGCCCAGACUCCUACGGGAGGCAGCAGUGGGGAAUAUUGCACAAUGGGCGGAAGCCUGAUGCAGCAACGCCGCGUGCGGGAUGACGGCCUUCGGGUUGUAAACCGCUUUCGCCUGUGACGAAGCGUGAGUGACGGUAAUGGGUAAAGAAGCACCGGCUAACUACGUGCCAGCAGCCGCGGUGAUACGUAGGGUGCGAGCGUUGUCCGGAUUUAUUGGGCGUAAAGGGCUCGUAGGUGGUUGAUCGCGUCGGAAGUGUAAUCUUGGGGCUUAACCCUGAGCGUGCUUUCGAUACGGGUUGACUUGAGGAAGGUAGGGGAGAAUGGAAUUCCUGGUGGAGCGGUGGAAUGCGCAGAUAUCAGGAGGAACACCAGUGGCGAAGGCGGUUCUCUGGGCCUUUCCUGACGCUGAGGAGCGAAAGCGUGGGGAGCGAACAGGCUUAGAUACCCUGGUAGUCCACGCUGUAAACGGUGGGUACUAAGUGUGGGGUCCAUUCCACGGGUUCCGUGCCGUAGCUAACGCUUUAAGUACCCCGCCUGGGGAGUACGGCCGCAAGGCUAAAACUCAAAGGAAUUGACGGGGCCCCGCACAAGCGGCGGAGCAUGCGGAUUAAUUCGAUGCAACGCGUAGAACCUUACCUGGGUUUGACAUGGAUCGGGAGUGCUCAGAGAUGGGUGUGCCUCUUUUGGGGUCGGUUCACAGGUGGUGCAUGGCUGUCGUCAGCUCGUGUCGUGAGAUGUUGGGUUAAGUCCCGCAACGAGCGCAACCCUUGUUCACUGUUGCCAGCACGUUAUGGUGGGGACUCAGUGGAGACCGCCGGGGUCAACUCGGAGGAAGGUGGGGAUGACGUCAAGUCAUCAUGCCCCUUAUGUCCAGGGCUUCACGCAUGCUACAAUGGCUGGUACAGAGAGUGGCGAGCCUGUGAGGGUGAGCGAAUCUCGGAAAGCCGGUCUCAGUUCGGAUUGGGGUCUGCAACUCGACCUCAUGAAGUCGGAGUCGCUAGUAAUCGCAGAUCAGCAACGCUGCGGUGAAUACGUUCCCGGGGCU
rnacentral:rRNA from 1 species